rnacentral:rRNA from 1 species
GUGAGGAAUAUUGCGCAAUGGAGGCAACUCUGACGCAGCCAUGCCGCGUGCAGGAAGAAGGCGCUACGCGUUGUAAACUGCUUUUAACCGGGAAGAGACCCCAGGACGUGUCCUGGGUUGACGGUACCGGAGGAAUAAGCACCGGCUAACUUCGUGCCAGCAGCCGCGGUAAUACGAAGGGUGCAAGCGUUAUCCGGAUUCAUUGGGUUUAAAGGGUGCGUAGGCGGAGCGUUAAGUCAGUGGUGAAAUCCUGCAGCUUAACUGUAGACUUGCCAUUGAUACUGGCGCUCUUGAGUGCGCUUGAAGUGGGCGGAAUGUGCCGUGUAGCGGUGAAAUGCUUAGAUAUGGCACAGAACACCAAUUGCGAAGGCAGCUCACUAAGGCGAUACUGACGCUGAGGCACGAAAGCGUGGGGAUCGAACAGGAUUAGAUACCCCUGUAGUCC